rnacentral:pre_miRNA from 1 species
UCAUAUCUACGGCGGAAAAGCGCCAAAAAAAUACACGGACAAAAAAGCGCCCUGUCUUUUCUCUCUGUCUGUCCGUGUAUUUUUCGGUGCUUUUCCACCGUAGAUAUUA